GUAACACGUAUCCAACCUGGCCUUUACUCGGGGAUAGCCUUUCGAAAGAAAGAUUAAUACCCGAUAGCAUAAUGAUUCCGCAUGGUUUCAUUAUUAAAGGAUUCCGGUAAAGGAUGGGGAUGCGUUCCAUUAGGUUGUAGGUGAGGUAACGGCUCACCAAGCCUUCGAUGGAUAGGGGUUCUGAGAGGAAGGUCCCCCACAUUGGAACUGAGACACGGUCCAAACUCCUACGGGAGGCAGCAGUGAGGAAUAUUGGUCAAUGGGCGCUAGCCUGAUCCAGCCAAGUAGCGUGAAGGAUGAAGGCUCUAUGGGUCGUAAAC
rnacentral:rRNA from 1 species